CAGCAGCCGCGGUAAUACGUAGGGGGCAAGCGUUAUCCGGAUUUACUGGGUGUAAAGGGAGCGUAGACGGCAAGGCAAGUCUGAUGUGAAAACCCAGGGCUUAACCCUGGGACUGCAUUGGAAACUGUCUGGCUCGAGUGCCGGAGAGGUAAGCGGAAUUCCUAGUGUAGCGGUGAAAUGCGUAGAUAUUAGGAAGAACACCAGUGGCGAAGGCGGCUUACUGGACGGUAACUGACGUUGAGGCUCGAAAGCGUGGGGAGCAAACAGGAUUAGAUACCCUGGUAGUCCACGCCGUAAACCAUGAAUGCUAGGUGUUGGGGAGCAAAGCUCUUCGGUGCCGCCGCAAACGCAUUAAGCAUUCCACCUGGGGAGU
rnacentral:rRNA from 1 species